AGGUGGUUUUGCGAGCAGGCUGUUGUUGCAGCUGCUGGAGAAUGUUGCUGGCAUUGCCCUGGCUGGUGUGUCGUAUUUGGGGAUGCCUUCAGUCGCCUCUGGACAUCGAGUGGAGGCUGUCCAUUUCGAAAUUCAUUUCAUACGCUGACAUCAAGAAGUCACAGUUACACAUUGAAGAGGAAUAGACAAAACGCGGGCCAAGAAGGAACAGAUACAUUCGGGCAUUGGGUAAACCCAAAACCCAAAAAAAAGACUGCAUGGAG